GGCGUGCGCGUGAUCGCUCCCGGCCGCCGGGGGUCGAGUGUACUCUGCGCGCCCCGCCCGCCGUCGUCUGCCCCCCGCGAGGCUGGGGAGCGCGGCCGAAAGCCAUGCCCCUCUUCGUGCCCACUGUAGCAGCUGAGCGGGAGGGGUCCUGCUGGGGGCCGGGGCCGGGCGGGAAAGAAGAGGGCUCCUCCCCCGCGGCUUGGGAGGGCUGCUGAACGCCGGAGCCUUACAACUGUUAAACUCAGGCAGAGCUCGGGAAAUGCUGCCCGGAUGGGUGACUGAUGGAGAGGGGCUACCACUCUUCCAGCUAAACUCCGCUCUGGUUGGGACCCAGCAAUUAUUUUCCAUAGCGAAGUGUUAAUAAAAUAUCUGUUACUCCCAACACAACCUCCUGGGGGAAGGGACCUGUCUGUCUGCUUCAACUUUGGAUCCUCAGUGCCCACAUCAGGAUACCUGGCCUGAGAGAGGGUCCUGCCGGUAUUACCCUGGAGGAAGGAAUGCUGCACAGAGGCCGAGAGGAAUUUGAACAGACUGGCCUUGCUGGGUUUUUAUCUCUUUUUGUCCAAUCCCAUUUUGACACAGUUGUCCAUGCUCCAAUCAUGCUUAUCCAAUGAAGUUUCCAUAACAGGCCUGAGAGGACAGGGUUCAGGAGCUUCCGGACAGCUGAGCAGGUGGAGGUUCCUGGAGGGUGGUGUGCCAGGGAGGGUGUGGAAGCUCUGCCCCUUCCCCCAUACCUUGUCCUAUGCAUUCCUUUAUCUGCAUCCUUCAUUUUAUUUUAUUUUUUUUUGAGACGGAGUCUUGCUCUUGUCGUCCAGGCUGGAAUGCAGUGGUGCGCGAUCUUGGCGCACUGCAACCUCCGCCUCCCGAGUUCAAGAGAUUCUCUUGCCUGAGCCUCCCGAGUAGCUGGGAUUACAGGCACCCGCCACCAUCCCUGGCUAAUUUUUGUAUUUUUAGUAGAGAUGGGGUUUCACCAUGUUGGCCAGGUUAGUCUUGAACUCCUGACCUCAGGUGAUCCACCCACCUCAGCCUCCCAAAGUGCUGAGAUUACAGGCGUGAGCCACAGUGCCCGGCCUGUAUCCUUUAUAAUAUCUUUUAUAAACAACCAAUCAGUAAAUGUGUUACUCUGACUUCUGUGAGCUGCUCUAGCAAAUUAAUCAAAUCCACAGAAGGGUCAUGGGAACCCCAACUUGAAGCCUGUCCGUCAGAAGUUCCAGAGUCCUGGACUUGUGACUGGUGUCUGAAGUGGGCAAGUCUUGGGGACUGAGCCCCUAGCCUGUGGGAUCUGAUGCUAUCUCCACAUAGAUAGCAAUGGAAUUGAAUUGGCGGGCACCUGGCUGGUGUCUGCUGCAGAGCUCAUUGUUUGCUUAGUGGUGGAGAGAAGUCUCCCUCCACAUGUGGUCACAGCAUCUUCUGUCUGUGUUGAUUGCUUUUGAUGUUGAUCGAGAGAACAGGAAAAAGCACAUUGAAUGUCUCAAUGAUGAAGAUGACAAUAAUCUGGCUUCUAGGUUGUUAUGCGGCAGGCAACAGCUGUGCAGAUCCUAAUAAUCUACUCUGGGUGACAGUUUAACACAGGGGUUGGCAAAUGUGGCCCACUUCCUAUUUUUAUAAAUAAAGUUUUAUUGAAACAUGGCCAUGCUCAUUCAUUUACAUAUCAUGCUGCUCUGCUAGAGUUGAGUGGUGGUGAUAAGACACCUAUGGUCAAUAGAGUCCUUUACAGAAGAAAGGAUUUACUAUUCGGCCCUUUACAGAAAAAGUCUGUCAUCCUGCCCUCAUUCAUUAGUAGACAACCAGCUGGUUCCUGGACUUCCUUGAGGAAAGUGCUAUAUUAAGCAGUUGUGGGUAUAAAGUCUGGGCUCCAACACUUGCUCUGUGACCUUGGGCAAGUUACUUACCUAGUCUGGGCUCAUCAUUUUCACAGGUAUAACAGGAGUAAUGACAUGGUGGGGAUGAAGUGGGAUAUUGUCUGGACCACGCUUUGCAUAGUGUCUCAUGGCUAGGAAGUACUCUAUACAAAGUAGUUACUAUUAUUAGCUAUUAUAUUUCAACUGAUGAAAGGUACAAAGAAACUCCCAGGAAGCGGGUCAUUGCUGCAUGCCGCUGUCUUUAAAGAACGCCCAGCAGCAAUCCCAUACGUAGCCAACAAGAUAUGUGGACGUCAAAAGUAAGUGCUCCUUGGGUGCAGCACACCAACAUGGCACAUAUAUACACAUGUAACAAACCUGCACGUUGUGCACAUGUACCCUAAAACUUAAAGUAUAAUAAUAAAAAAAUUUUAAAAAAAAGUAAGUGCUCCUAUGCAACAUACCCAGUAAAUUAAUGAUUCCAACUUCCUUUUCAGUUAAAGCAGUGGAUCAGAAUUUGAAAAGGAGUAAAGGUCAAGGCCAUGAGGUCUAACUAACACGGUAGCAUCAGAGCCUGGCCCAUAGUAGGCCCCCAGUGUCUACCGGCUGAAUGGAUGGAGGCUGGUUGUUUAACUGUCAAACCAUACUCUCUGAUGAUAAGACCACAGUUAGCCAGAAGAUAAAGUUUCUGCCUCCAAUAUUUUUGGGUCUUAGAAAGGAAAACAGUUUGCUAAAGAUGACAGGAAACUCAAAACAAGGACCUGUUAAUGCUUCCCCCAACUGGACGGAGGCAUUGCAAAAGGAUUCCUGGGCAACAGAUGGGCAAAGAAAAAUGUUUAAAAACAAAAGCAGGCACAUAAGGUCAUGAAUUGGCCCAAAAUAACCUGGGACACUGAGCAGACGGAUGCAAGCAGUGCACCUGACGGAAAUGAGGCCAAGCUGAUGAGCUGAAAUAGCCUCACUGGUGCCCUCCAUCCUGCUUUAGGAGGCCUCAGCAUGGCAAAGAGGCAUGCAUUAGCGUUAUUAGGUUUAGGUUUCCUCACAUCCUUAGUGGAUUGCCUUCAUUCCUAAGUCCCUAAAAAAUUGGAAACCACUCCACUUACCAGGAGCACACUUUGGAAUGCAGAUCUGGAAGCUAUUUUUUCCCUCCAGACAUUUCAUGACUUUGGUUUCUACAACAGCAGGCGAUGGUGAUGCUGCCAAGUUUCAAGAGAAGGGCACCUUAUCUGCAAAGUCACGAAUCCAAGGAUCCACAUGGGCUCCCACUGGCAAGGGCGGAAGGAAGUUGUGUGUCUUAGCUUCUUGAAAGAUCAGAAGAAGAUUGGGAGGUUUGGGUAUACAGGUACCUCACUGUACUGUGGUGCAACCCCCAGGGGAAAGACUGCUGGUAGCUUCUCAGAAUCAGUAGUGGGUGGGGGCUGUGUAGCAGAGCGUCGUAGUAAAUGCCCAUUUGGUUGCAAUGAACAGAAACUCAAACCAGCUAAAGCAAAAAGAGGGCACCUAUAGGGAAGAAAAGCCAGCUCCUGAUGUCCAAGCCUGACUCUUCAGCUUUGCAUAGCCACUGAUUCUCUGACCUUCCUCAUUUCCUCCCAGUAAACUCUCUUUCUGUUUAAGUUAGCCACAGGAGGUAUCUGUUGUUUACAACCAAGGGAUCUUGAGUGAUACAAAGGGUCCUAGUGGAACCCAAGGGCAGGUACUGGAACUGGCCUUCACAAGGAAGGGAACUGGGAAUCAGAAAGUCAUUGGGAAUCAAGGUAACUUUCUUCUGGGUCAGCUGGGAAUGUAUUCAGCUUCAAAUAGCAGAAAACCCAAUGUGAGUAGAUUGUAAAAAUCUGGAGCUCCUCCCACACAGACUCUGGCUUUAUCUGAUGGGAUAUUAACAAACAUAAGGCAAGUAGAAACUUGAAAAGUGCUUGUGCACUGGGGCUUGUUCUCACCUGCUGUUCUUGGCAACCUGUGGCCACCACAUGUGAACGAGCCUAGUCCAGUCGGCUGAAGGAUGAGUGGGCCUGCUGAGCAGAGACAAAGCGUGGCAGUGGAAGGCCUCUCUAGACCAGGUUUCUCAACCUCAGUGCUACUGACAUUUUAGAUCAAAUAAUUCUUUGUUAUGGGGAGUUCUUUUGUCCAUUGUAGAAUGUUUAGCAGCACCUUUGGCCUCUACCUCUAGAAGAGCACCUGCCCUUCCUUCGUUGUGACAACUAAAAUUAUGUCCAGACAUGGCCAAAGUUCUCUUGGGGGGCAAAAUUGCUCCUUGUUGAGAACUACUACCCUAACCCAACUUGCCUGCCAAGGCCAGGUGUAUGAGGCCAGGUGUAUGAAAGAGGCCAUUCUAAACCAUCCAGCCCCAGCCAAGACAGUCCAGACAGGAAAAGUGUGCAGCUUGACCCAUGGAAUCAAAAGAAAUAAUAAAUAUUUG
rnacentral:lncRNA from 1 species